rnacentral:piRNA from 1 species
GGGGCCAGGAAGAGGGUAGAGUUUUGGA